CAGAUUGCGAGCAGGGGAGGGACAGAGAGAGAGGGGGACACAGUAUCCAAAGUAGGCUCCAGGCUCCGAGCUGUCAGCACAGAGCCUGACGUGGGGCUGGAACCCAUGAACAGGGACAUCAUGACCUGGGCCAAAGUCAGACGCUUAACCGACUGAGCCUCCCAGGCGCCCCCAACACCAGCUCUUUCAAAAAGCCCCUCUUGACUGCCCUCCCUCCCUCCUUCUCCACUCCAGCUUCUUCAAGGAGCUGACUCCGCCAGCUGUCCCCACGCUUUCCUCCCCCACCGUCCCCAACCGGUUUUUGUCCCGUGUGCCAAGGCCACCUCCACGGUUCUUCUCUGUGACACCUGCUCUCUAGGCUGUCUCUCUCUUCCCUCCAGCACCUCCCCCCAUGUGGGCCUGCCCUGUUUCUCUAUUACCCCUCCUGGACGGUCUCCUCUGGUGUCCGGGCUCUAACUACCACCUCUAUACCCCAACCCCCCCGAAAUCGUGUUAACCUGAUAUCUGCGUUGGGCUGUCCAGCAGGCUCGCGGGGCUCAGAGAGCUCAGCGCGCCAGACGCGGGACCCCCAUUUGCCCUUCUGGAUUCGCCUCCAUCCACCAGCCAGGUCCACUCUUCUCUGCUGCCCAAGUAGCCCACCCACCCCUCCGUCGCCAGCUCCGGCCCCCUCGUGCAAGCACCCCCUGAAUAGCUGCCCGUGACUGGCCCCACCUCUUCCGGGGCCCCUGCCCUGCAGGUGGCCGGCAACCCACCCCCACGGCCACCCCUUCUCAGAGGAAGGUUUUUCAACACGUGAGAUGAAAUUCGUGGAAUCACAAAGGAAACCACUUGGUUUUGAAUCCAGUCAUCAAAAUCUGUUUUAAUCGUGGCUAUGAGAGCAGAUGUGCUUCUUUGUCCGUGCAUUAAAUAAGCUCUCACACCUGGGGUCUUCUCAGACACCAGGAUUUCAAACCCACAAGUGUAAAUAUCAUCUCAGAUCCACAACUGCAAUGCAAUAAAAAAGAUCGGUGACUUCCGUUAGGAACAAAGUCGCGGGUGAUUCUAUUUUUUUUAAUUUGAUUUUUUAAAUGUUUAUUUGUUUUUGAGAGAGAGAGAGAGAGAAAGAGAGAGAGAGAGAGACAGUGUGAGUGGGGAAGGGGCAGAGAGAGAGGGAGACACAGAAUCCAAAACAGGCUCCAGGCUCCGAGGUGUCAGCACAGAGCCCAACAUGGGGCAGAAACUCACAAACCGUGACAUCAUUACCUGAGCCAAAGUUGGAUGCUUCACCAACUGAGCCACCCAGGUGCCCCUAGUUUAAUUUUUUAAAUGUUUAUUUUUGAGAGAGAGAGACACACAGAGUGCGAGCGCGGGGGGCACAGAAAGAGAGGGCAGGGGGUGGGGGGGGGGGCAUAGAACCUGAAGCAGUCUCCAGGAGGGGCUUGAACUCACUUGAACUGAACUCACUUGAACUCCAGGAGGGGACUUGAACUGACACAGGGCUUGAACUCACGGACCGUGAGAUCAUGACCUGGCAGAAGUUGGACGCUUCACCGACCAAACCACCCAGGCGCCCCUAAAGUUGCAGGCACGCACAGCCUUCUCGGACUCGGGAACACCAGACAGCCCUUCAGCAUCAUGUGUGGAGCCAUUUUAGAUAGCAAUAUCAGCAACAAAAAGCACAAAAAUGUGAAAUCCAUCCAUGAAUCAGCAGGCCACAAGAAGAACACCUGUUUACAACAGAGGAGUUGAAACAAGAAGGAAGUGAAGGCAUCACACAAAAAACAAGCAAGCAAACAAACAAAAACGGCAGGAAAAUCAAGCAAAGACCUUCCACUCUGUUGAGAUGUUGGUGCCUGCUGGAGGUUCGAGGUCCCGUGUGAAAAGGGAAAAGAUAGUAUCACAGGAUCCCAAGGAGCUAAGAGGGCAACUGCUACUUGUCGCUGACUUAAGGGAUGGGAAGGAACGGGGAAAGGGAGCGGUUUCUCUCCAGGACGUGCAGGGCCACUUGGGGAUGGAAAAUUUCCCUCCUCCGCAGACCUGGGGGCAAGGUCCUCUUCUCUUCUCCGUCC